GGGGGCGGCGCCAGCUCCGCCGGCAGCCUUGGGCUGUCCGGGAGGACCUCUCCUUUCCGCCAGACACGUCGCGCACCUGCUCUUCUGCAGCAUGAUGAGGUCCCCGGGUCGGGACCCGGCCCCCAGCGAUGGCGAGGAGGCUUCGGACAGCACGCCGCUCCUGCAGGGCGCCUGGCCGGCGGAAGGCGCUCCGGUGUGCUGCUCUGCUCGUUACAACUUAGCAGUUUUGGCCUUUUUUGGGUUCUUUGUUCUCUACGCGUUGCGUGUGAAUCUGAGUGUUGCGCUGGUGGAUAUGGUCGAUUCAAAUACGACUUCAGCAGAUAACGUAACUUCCAAGGAGUGUGCAGAGCAUUCUGCUCCCGUGAAAAUCCUUCGUAGUCAAACGGGUAAAAGGUACCAGUGGGAUGCAGAGACCCAGGGGUGGAUUCUCGGCUCCUUCUUUUACGGCUACAUCGUCACGCAGGUUCCCGGGGGCUACAUUGCUCGCAAAGUCGGGGGGAAGCGGCUGCUGGGGUUUGGGAUCCUUGGCACUGCUGUCUUCACCCUGUUCACGCCCAUUGCCGCAGAUUUUGGAGUUGGAGCUCUCGUUGUGCUCAGAGCACUAGAAGGACUUGGAGAGGGUGUCACUUUUCCAGCCAUGCAUGCCAUGUGGUCUUCUUGGGCUCCCCCGCUUGAGAGAAGCAAGCUUCUUAGCAUUUCAUAUGCAGGAGCACAGCUUGGAACAGUAGUUUCUCUUCCUCUUUCUGGAAUAAUUUGCUUGUAUAUGAAUUGGACUUAUGUCUUCUACCUUUUUGGUAUAGUUGGAAUCAUUUGGUUUAUUUUAUGGAUCUCACUAGUCAGUGAUACACCAGAAACUCACAUGAGAAUCUCCCAGUAUGAAAAGGAAUACAUUCUUUCAUCAUUAAGAAAUCAGCUUUCUUCACAGAAGUCAGUGCCAUGGGUGCCCAUGCUAAAAUCACUGCCACUUUGGGCUAUUGUAGUGGCACAUUUUUCUUACAACUGGACUUUCUAUACUUUGUUGACGUUAUUGCCUACUUAUAUGAAGGAGAUCCUAAGGUUCAACAUUCAAGAGAAUGGGUUUUUAUCGGCACUGCCUUAUUUGGGCUGUUGGUUAUGUAUGAUCCUGUCUGGUCAAGCUGCUGACAAUUUAAGGGCAAAAUGGAAUGUUUCAACUGUGUGUGUUCGAAGAGUUUUUACCCUUAUAGGAAUGAUUGGACCUGCGGUGUUCCUGGUAGCCGCGGGAUUUAUUGGUUGUGACUAUUCUUUGGCUGUUGCAUUCCUGACCAUAUCAACAGCGCUGGGGGGCUUUUGCUCUUCUGGAUUCAGCAUCAACCAUCUGGACAUUGCACCCUCCUGGAAUGGGAACUCUGAAGGCAGAGACUGUCUUCCCCUCCUCAGGGCUCACCAUGACUCGUGGCACAUAGUGGGCAUUUAGUGGAUGGAUGAAUGUCCAAGACCAGACCCAGGUACGCCGGCAUCCUCCUGGGCAUCACCAACACCUUCGCCACCAUUCCAGGGAUGGCUGGGCCUGUCAUCGCUAAGAGUCUGACACCUGGCAACACUAUUGCAGAAUGGCAAACUGUUUUCUGUAUCGCUGCUGCUAUCAAUGUAUUUGGUGCCAUUUUCUUCACACUGUUCGCCAAAGGUGAAGUACAGAACUGGGCUCUCAGCGAUUACCAUGGACACAGAAACUGAAGGAACCAAUAAACAGUCCUCUCUAUUGAUGUAUUUUUGUUUAUCAUGUAACCUAAAAGUGCCUUCAAUAUUUUAAUGUGUGAGCAUUCUGUGUACAAGAAAAAAUUGUACUUGUAUUAAAUUUUUAAGGCUUGUAAUCAUGAAAUGUCACUAGUUACCAGAUUAGUAAAAAUGGCUAUUUUUAAUUAUUAAUGACAUGUAUGCUGGGACUUACACUUUAGGGUCACAUACCUGGCUGCAAGUCAGGCAAUAUGAAGUAGGGGAGUUCUGUUUAUUUUUAAGGGCCAUACUUAAAGGAAUGAGCUGAAAUAGAUCUCUCUCUGUACCUUUGCUUAAUUAAAGUAGAUAAUAAUUCUCAGGUCUCGGUAAACACCUGUUUUUGUUCACUUUCCUCAUAAAAAUUAUUUGUCAGCAGCAAUCCCUGACACUCAGGUCUCAAACUUUAGCAUCUCCACGGAGCUGCUGGCCACUGCGUAAUGUGGCCUGGCAACUGCACUGAGGGCAGCGUGCCCGGGCAGCUGCCAGGCAUUCCGGCCCUGGCCUCGGGGACAGCGCCAGUGUUGAUCAGAGGCCGCAUCCGAGAGCAAGGUCAGCACCCGGACUUUGGACGGUGUUCUUCCCCUGGGGCCGUUCACGUGUGCUAAAGCAGGGCGGGCAGGAGCAGCGGGCUCCACGCCGUGAGGGCUGCCCCAUCCGGCUCCCUGGAACAGAGAUUGGCAGGUAGCCUGCAAAAAAAGAGUGUGAUGCCCACUUAGCCACAAAUAACAUCCUCCUUGAUUAAAACUACCUUCACAUGGAUCAGAGUGUAAAUUUCCAAGUCCUGUGUUCUGUGAGCUACACCAGACUAAGUAAAUUGAAGAAGAACUCUUAGGUGUUUUUCCGCCUGCGUCUGAGCUCCUGGUUGCAGUUCAAGGUUCAAGUGGCUGUUAGUCGGCCACGUCACCUGCACCCAGUGAUGUGAUCUCUUUACCGCUGGUUCCCGAAAUCAUAUUUUUCCAGGUUUUUCCUGGAGCAUCUUAAGUGGUUUUCAAGCACACUUUGAAGGCAUUUAUGUGAUUUAGAACUUGGUUUAUGUUUUGUUGUGUUUGUUCAACACUACCUGUACCAUUUUAACUAAAACUAUUUAAUGUAAUAUGACAUGAAUACGUUUCUGUAAAAUUAUUUUUUAAUUUGUAAAUAGCUUUAAGUUGGUAUGAUGAUAUUUCUUUUACAAAUCAUCAAAAUAAACCUUUCUGGAUGGAUA